AUUGAACGCUGGCGGCGUGCUUAACACAUGCAAGUCGUGCGGUAACAGGGCGUAGCAAUACGUGCUGACGAGCGGGCGAACGGGUGCCGUAAUACAUGGGAAUCUGCCCUUCAGUGGGGAAUAACCCGGCGAAAGCCGGGCUAAUGCCGCAUAAGAUCUUCGGAUGAAAGCGGGGGAUCGUAAGACCUCGCGCUGAUGGAUGAGCCCAUGCCGGAUUAGCAGUUGGUGAGGUAACGGCUCACCAAGGCGACGAUCCGUAGCUGGUCUGAGAGGACGGCCAGCCACACUGGGACUGAGACACGGCCCAGACUCCUACGGGA
rnacentral:rRNA from 1 species